UACGUAGGGGGCUAGCGUUGUCCGGAAUCAUUGGGCGUAAGCGCGUGUAGGCGGUCCGGUAAGUCCGCUGUGAAAGUCGAGGGCUCAACCUCGAAUGCCGGUGGAUACUGUCGGGCUUGAGUACGGGAGAGGCGAGUGGAAUUCCUGGUGUAGCGGUGAAAUGCGCAGAUAUCAGGAGGAACACCGAUUGCGAAGGCAGCUCGCUGGAACGGUAACUGGACGCUGAGGCGCGAAAGCGUGGGGAGCAAACAGG
rnacentral:rRNA from 1 species